AAAUGUAGUGUGACUAAACCAGUCACUAAACCAGUCACACUACAUUUUUCAUAUCAUCUGCUGCCCUCUGGAAUUUUGGUUUAACAAUUAGAACUGUAAAUGAGAUUACAAUUGUUUCAUUUUUAACGUCUGCUUUGCUUUCUUGCUCCUUGCUCUGUACUAUAAUAAGGACCUUUAUUCUUGAGUCUUCAAAUAUAGUAUGACUGGUGUAUUAUUCGUAUCAUCUAUUGCCUUCUCGAAAGGUAAAUUAGAUUACAAUUGUUUCUAUCUUCAAUUGUAACGUCCGCUUUGCUUUGUACCUGCUUUGCUCUGCAUUUAAUUCAAAGAGAAAACGGAACAAUUGUUACUACAAGCGACGUUUCAGUUACUUCUAUUCCCCAUCACUUUGCUACUUGGUGUAUCCUUUGGACUAUCAAUUUUUAAGCAAUCGAUUACCUCUUAUCCGUACCUGUCGAUCCCUAAUCCUAAUCGGCUCGCGUUGACGUCGAUAUCCAGCUUACGAGAUAAGCCAGCGAGCACUACUGGAUGACACUGAUCAAAAAUUGUAGGUCUCAGGCUAAACGUGACCGUGGAAGGUCAAUGGAAUAUUAAUGAAGAAAAAGAGUACAGUAGAACCAAUUUUCUUUGGAUUGGUAGGGAGAUGUCAACGCUUGGAUAAAAGAACAUUCAGUUAAAAUACAAUUGCAAUGAUGUCUAAAUAUACAUUAAAAUAUAUUAUUAACGAAAAGAAAAGAAUAAUAAAAAAAGGAGGUUAUUAUUAAUAAUUUACGCAACAUGGAAAGAUAUAUAUAUAUAUAUAUAACCGAGUGACUUAAUAAAAGUGUGGUAUUAAGGAAGGGAAAAGAAUAAUAAAAAGAGGAAGCUAUUCGUAAUAAUUUGAACAACGUGGAAAAAUAUUUUAUUUCAACUCACCAACUAAGUCGCAGCUAAGUAUGCAGGACAUCCUCUAGGAACAAAUCUUACACCAUCUGAAAAUGCAACAUGAUUUAUAGAAAUUUGCAAAUUAAAAUGACAAUGCAAUUACAAAUGAAAAGUAUGCAAAAAAGGAUGUCUGCAAGAUCGUCUGUAUAAUUUCAUUAUUCAGAAGAAAGUACAAUGAAGGAUAUUAAAACAGAAAGAAGAAAAUUAGUCCCUGAAGAUUUCUCUUGAAAAAUUUGUCAGAAUUCGAGAUCUUAUUUUUCAAAAAAUUAAAAUUCGAACAAUACUGAAUUAAACUUGUCUUCGAAUGGGUAUCGAAUGAAAUUGAUAUUGAAGCAAUGGAAAUUUAAACUCCCCACAAAAUGGAUAUCCAAUUUCUACAUUAAUUGCAACCCGAUUCCUUUAUGCAAUUUGCAAUAUGCAACGCGAUUUUCAUUUUUAUUGUAUUUUUCGAAUAAAUUAAAAUUCAAGCAAUGGAGAAUGAAGCUCAGUCUUGAAUGGGUAUCGAGUUAAAUAGAUAUUCGGGCGAUGGAAUGUAAAAUUCACCCUUGAUCCUUGACCCUUGAAUGUAAUUUUACUCUAAUUUUAUUUUUUGUUUUCCGCUCAAUUAAAAACGAAACAACAGUGGAUUAACCUCGUUGUUGAAUGAAUUCCCUAUUAAAUUGAAAUUCAGGCGAUAGAAAGUUGAACUCAUCCUUGAAUUGAUACCCAAUUCCGAACGCUAAUUGCACCGUGAUUCCUUUAUCGAGGAAUUUAUUUCCAUUCUUAUUUCAACGAAUAAAAAAAAAAAAAAAAGCAGAAAAAAAGAACGAGUUGAGUGAAAUUCGACUGGGAUUGUUUGUCGAUCGACUCUUACGCGAACAAGACUGCCUAUACAGCACAGGGUAUCGAGCUCUCGGAUCGUCCAUAAACCGAUCCCCGAAAUUGUUCUGGAUCGCUCGCGAUCAGAACCGACUACGUUAGGACCGUAUCAAACUAAAGAAAGAAAGAAAGAAAAAAAAAAUAACGCUAUAGUUCAAAACGAAUACAUAUCAUUAGUCGUUAACGAAGGGCGCGAUGUAAGUACAUAUUAUAGUCGUAAAGGGAGAAGCAAAAGGUGAAACAAAAACAACAAAAAAAAAAAACAAUUUUCGGGAAGGUAUAAAAAUGAACGACAACAUUAACAAUUAAUUUAUUACACCUUUACCGCAUCUUAUAUACAUAAUAUACAUACAAAUUGAUAUAUUGUAUAUACAAAAUAUAUGUAUUAUAUAUUAUAUAUAUUAUAUAACAUAUACACGUGCAUAUACAAAUCGGUGAAUAGGAGAUAAGGUUUUGCUAAAAGACGAAAAUCAACACGAUCGCGUGAAUCGUAUCGAAUUGGUGGGGGGGGGGGGGGACGAUGAAACGUUUAUCGAAGAAACAAAACGGAUCGCGAUCCACGCGAUCGUCGUACAAUGUACAGCGAAACGGGGUGAAAUGAAGGACGAUAUUCUAUCGACAAAGAUCCAGACAGUAUUUUAAAAUGACAUAGAUAGCUUAGUUGUCUACGUAUUAAUGUAUCUACCGCCCUAUACUGACACGCGUGCACGAGAGUAUCGUGUCCAGAAACAGCUGGAAUGUUUCGUGGGGGAAGAUCUCUCUGUUCCGAACUGCAUUUUAUCGUUCCUGGAUGGAAAACAAAUGCAGCCGAGUGUUAUAGCAGGGUUGGGCAAAAAUGCGAUCGAUUAAUCUGGCUUACCAGUCGUGAUCGAUCGUUAAUGAAUGAUUAGUAACCAGACUAGUAAGCAAACAUGAUCAAGGAUCAUAUAGGAUUGAUUAUUGAUGAUUACUAAUGAUUAUUGAUGUAUAUUGAUGUUUACUAAUGAUUGAUUAGCGACGAUUAAUAUUAUUCAUUACUAGUUGCUGAUUAAUAUUAGUUUAUGUUAAUAUGUAUACAUGAUUGCUGAUUAACACAUAUUAAUAUUCAUUAUUAUUGAUUGAUAUUUGGUAAUACUGAUAAAUAUUUGUGGAUAUUGAUGAGCAGUAAAUGAUAAACAUUGAUGAAUAGAAUUGCCUAUUAAUGAUUAAUGGUCAUAAAGGAUGAAUAUUAAUGCAUAUUCAUUUAUUAAUGAUAAAUGAUUAUAAACGAUGAUAGUUACGGAUUAUCAUAAAACGGAUAAUUAUUGAGCGUUAUUUGAAGAUUGAUUAUAUUUGUGAACAGUGAUAAGCAUUGGUACACAUUGAUUAAAAUCGACGAAAAUUUAUCAUUAUUGGUGAUUUAUUACUAUUAUCGAUGAAUAUCGAUGUAUAUUGGUUACUGUUUAUGAACAUCAAUUUAUUUAUGAACAUUUAUGAACAUUGAUGAACCACGAUGAACAAUAAUGAACUUGAAUAAACAUUGACCACGUUUGUGAACAUUGAUAAACAUUAACGAAUAGUGAUAAACAUCAAUAAAUAUUGAUAAAUAUUAAUGAAUAUUGGUGAACAUUAAUGAACAUAAAUUGCAAUCAAUUAUCGCAAAAGUAAUCAAAAAGUGAUGGCUGCCCAACUCUGGUAUAUGCAUAAGGACGAACAGAGAAUGCGUGCACGCGGUAACACACACGUACAUAGACACGAACACGCGAGCAAACAUACACACGUACACACACACCCAGACACGUACACGAGAAAUAUUGUAUCGUUGUCGAUGUCUACAAUUGUUAAAGCGGAGACGCGGGCGUCGACGACCGAAGAUAAAAGAAAAAUACCAAAAACCUCUCACCUCGCCCCCCCAUCUCCUACGUCACCGCUUUAACGUCUCGACGCCGCGCGUCUCCGCUCGUGUAAUUUCACGUUUCAAUGAUAUUUAUUAUUUUUUAUAAUAGCGUAUACGGUGUAUGUGUUUCCUGUCGUGAUUACCCACACUUCUCCUUACCUCGAUAGAUGUUUAAACGACGAAAAAAAAAAAAAUACUAAUAAAAGGGGAGGGAGAAAAGCACCGCGAGCAAAAACACGCGGAGAAACGAUACAAAUUGCGAGGUAAAAGAAACAAACGAAAUUCCUCUCGUCAAACGUGACGAGUUUCCGUUUCGCCCAGGGGCUUGCUGUUUCUUCCUCCUCCUCCCCCCCUCCCUUCAGGGGUCUUAUCAAUUUCCUAAAUAUUACGUUGUUACUUGGAACUCGUUAGAUCGCGGCGACUACACCGCGAAUCCGAUUGUUUAACUGCAUAUACGAGAUAUAGCCAAAGAACCAGGUCGUUGCCUCUAACCCUUCCACUGCUGAGAAAAAAAAAAUGAAAAGAACAAAACAAACGCUUCUUAACUCUUUCCCACCAGUCGCGGAAAUUCGUUUCGUCCCGUGGAAACGAGCUUUUUGCACGAAGCGAAACGGGCACGGCGCCGGAAACCAGAAUUUAAAAAAAAAAAUAUCCCAAAAGUCGAGCGAUCGUUUAGAUGAAAAAAAAAGCAGAUGAACAUGAACUGGUCGCUCGGACCGAAAAUGGUGUGCACAAAACGAUGAGAAUAAAAAGUACGUGGGAAAAAAAAAUGAAACAUUUUCUGUCCUCUAGGAAUGUAAACUUUCGUCGCUAAGGUGUUUGAACAUUUUCAGCGUUCUUAAAACGUAGUCUUAACGAAUUAUUUUUAAACGUGUGAUCAGCUUCGAAAUACUAGCGAGUCCAAAAGAAGGGUUAAGAAGAUCAUCGAACACAGCUCGAUUCGCUGUGAAACAACCAACGAAACCCAUAAAAAGUAAGCGCGUGUUUUUGAUAAUCGAUGUUAAUUAAACAGGAACAAAAAAAAAAAACAAAAAAGAACACGUCGAGAACACGAAUCGUGGCUACGAUGAAAAAUAAAUCGAUAGCAGUUCAAGGGUUAACGCGAAUGACGCGACGAACACCAGAAAUCCUCGUUUCUGAACAUUCGACUCGAACGUGUCGUUGCUUGUGUCGUCGAUACUCGUGUUGGCGCGAUUUACUAUGAAUUGUUGCGAUACUUGCGUGAAAGAUCGUUCUCGUGAUUAUUGUUUACCUUUGUGAUCGUAUUACUUUUUAUUGUACUUCCGACGAAACGAAACCAAUGAUUUAAUCUUUUCAUUAUGGCAAUACUAUUCGUAACAAAAUUUUUAAAAAUACACUAGGUGUAUCGACUUCGUGACUUGUGACUACAGACCAUUUUUAAGGAUCGUUAUUUAUGUAAUUUCUACAUAUAGCUACAAUCGCAAUUUCAUAAUAAAUUGUGAAAUGUAUUCAGCACAAGUUUCUUUCCAACAGUGAAAAGGUUCAAACAUUCGGGUAAAUAAAUUUUCCAAAUAAUUUCCACAUUUUCGAAUAGUAAUUGAUUGUUUCUCUUGGAAAAGAGUGUCAUUGGAUGAUAUUCUUAUCAGUCCAAAUCGUAGCUACUCGAGUAACCAAUAGUGCGGGCGAAUUGUUUGUAAAAACGUUUCAAGAAUUAUUUGUAAAGUAAUUGUCACGAAUGAAAGCUAUUUCGAAAUCAUUUUUCACUAUUGAUAUAUAGUCAUUAUUAGAGGUAAUUAACAUAAACGAAAGCAAUUUCGAAAUAAUUUUCCUAACUUAAUAUAACAAUUAUUCACUUAUUAUUCAAUACGUGUGCAAUUAUGUCCGCGCAAUGUCGAAAUCGUGAGAGACAUUAUUCCUGUAUAUGGUUUUUAUAGAGCGUGAUAAUGACGAAGUUACGUGUUCGCAAGAGAAUCGCAUAAUUUUUAGAUGCAAAUUAACGAAUGAAAAAGUGCAACUCAGAAAUUGUGCAAAUAAUUCGAUACGCGAUCAAUAACAGCGUACAUGGAUACAAGAAUGGAGUUUUACCUUGCUUACAGCGAAUCAGGCACUCUAUUCAACUAUGGAGAGAAAAUAACGAUUAUUGUUCCAGCAAAUGUCUUCUCUUAAUUUCUUUACUUGUUAUUAUGGCUACAUUAGGAUAUUAUGAAUAUAUUGGCAAAAUUUUCCCGAUGAAAAUAAGUCCAAACACGACUCCAAUCGGACUAUUUUUCAUUACACGUUACUCGAAUCAUUAAAAAUCAUUGAAUGACUAAAUUGCUAAAAAUGGACCAAUUGAAGUUACGUUCGGACUCAUUUUCAUCAGGGAGAUCUCACGAAUCCAUUGAUAACACUGUGAAAAAAGAAAUAAUGACAAGUACGCGCAUUUUUAUUUUCAUUAUUAACUAAACAAUCAGGGACUUUCACGAAGAACAAAUGAAAAAUGUAAAAAUUGGACUGCAUCUCAGGCUGAGAACGAUAGAAAUGACUCUGGUUCAAUAACUGAGGGAAAAAUUGGAUCAAUUACUGAGGUAACGCUGUACAAGGUAAUGAUUCUUAACCUCUAUGCCAUGGAUGUUUGAAAAUAAGUCCAAUGGCCUGUUGAAUUUUUAUUUUAGCACAGGUGUAAUGAUGUAUCGGAUUUUUAUUCUUUAAAGUUUUCGAAAUAAUUAGGCAAUGCAAUUGUUCAUUACUAAAAAUUGCGCCACGAGCUUAAAAAGGUUAAGAAACGCUGGCAUAAUGUUUAGUGACUAUUACGCGAUCAAUUUUCGAACGCGUUUUACCGUUCGUUUGUGUAAAUGCAAUUGACAGUUAGCAAUUAGAGCGAUUUACAGCGAUUUAGUUGCGUGUGCAUAAUCGCAAUUAUCGAAUGUAUCCGUCACAAGUGGCGCGGGCAUUGAUUACACAACGGAAAGACGAUGUCAAGCAACAAAAAGCAAUAAAUAAUCUUGCGUAAAACGAACCUGAAGACACUACUCGACUGAUAGUAAGUAAUUUAACGACGAGCGAAGAUGUUUUAAGGGUGUAUUAUUGCGUCUCCAUUGCGCCAUUUACAAAAUAUAGAUAAGACGAACCAGUGAUUUCUCGAAUAAGCAGGCAAGAGUGCAAUUUGAUUAUUAUUUGUCGAAUGAGAACGUGGACACCGAGAUACAAUCCUUGUAAAUGUUGCAAAAAUGUGAUCGUGAAAUAAACGAGUUCUUCGGAUCCUGAAAUUAUUGGUUUUUCAAUCCUCAAAACACGUCGACAUUAUUUAUUUCUACCUGUACAAAAGAUUAUUUUAAGGAUUCCUACGUAUUACACUUUUUAACUUUUUUUUUAAAAAAAAUCAAUUCCCAAAACUGUAAACCGUUUAUUUUGUAUAGCACAGUAAAUUGUUGUUUGUAAUCAUUUAUUAACAUCAACUGGUAGGAGAGAGUCAAAAUGUCCCACGCUCAAUGUUCUAUGUAAUAAUGUCAUGGUUAAUAUUUAGUAAAUAGAUUGUAAUUGCUUUAGUCAUUCCUACUAUUAUUUAUUUAUCGUGAUUACUCGGCAGUCGUAAUAAUUACAUAAAAAGACAAGCUUCUCUGUAUAUAAAUUUAAGAAUGAUAUUUGUCCAGUCAGAAACAAGUUAUUAUUUAUUUUUGUUUACAUUUGGGCUCUUUGUUUUGGAGUCAUCUUCAGAACUUAAAAAGCUACAAAUCAACUUAAUAAAUGAAUAUAUAUAAAACAGUGUAAGUAUCCCUUUCAAGUUAAUAAAAAGAAUUUUUAAUACUUGAGAAUAAUGGUGAUAUUUAUAUGUCGAUAAUGACAAUCUUCUCCAUUUAAUUGAAGCUUAAAAUGAUGAAGACAAUAAUAGACUGAUUAAACAUGUUCCUAAUCUACAUAUAUAAAAGUUUCGACUUUCAUCAAACGCGCAUAUAUUUAGUAAUUAUUAAUUACAUUAUUACUAAAAAAAAAAGUACAAAUUCAAUUUGAUAUAAUUAGAAAUGCAAUUAGAAACUUAUAUUCGUUAAGGUCGUGAACUAUGAUAAUUAUCAACUUCCUGUCUGUGGAACAAUUGAAAAAUUAAUAAAGAAACUUUUAAUCUGACGGUUCCAGUAAGUUGACCAGAGAACAUUUUCGUAAUUUAGCUUCUCUUUCCUCCUUGCCUGUCGUGAUACUAGUAAUUGAUAUAAUUAUAAAUAAUCGAGGUCGAAACGAUUCAAUAACUUGAGAAUAUUCUUCGGCGAACUAUUUCAUUAUUGUCUUCAUUAAUUUGUGCUAUCAAUCUACGUACGUUACAUUCAAUUUUGUUUAUUUAAUCAUGCGAUCCGCGGUGACACAACAAUCCAAUAUUAAUCCACAUACAAUGACACAUUUAGUUGAGUAAAGCGUACAUUUCAUCAAUUACCUCGUCGGGGCCAAAUUGACUCCACCAUACCGGUUGUGUAAUAGAUAUUCCCACUCUACCUGUUGGGCGUUAAUUAAUAUUGGUUUAUUCCGAGGAGGACGUUCAGUUGCCGUCAAUCACGCUUGUUUUGCCAUCGAUCGAGAUCAGUUGUCCAAGACAAACGUUUACUUCGCCGCCAAUUAACGCCAGUCGUCCAAGAAACGCGUUCACAUUGUUGACAAUUAAGGAAAGCCAAUGGAGGCGCGGUAGAAAGAAGAUCCGCGCUAAAUUCAACGCUUGCACGUUUCGCCGAAGGAAUUUUGAGGAAUUCUUUUUCGUCCCUCGUCCACGCGUGAGAAAAUAAUAUCGUUAUACGUGUACACCGUUGGCACGUCGGUCGUCAGAAACAGAUCCGAUCGAUUUUCGACGACCUGAUGCGAACGUGAUUCACUAAAAAUCGUAGUCUUACGCUUUGACUCGUUGGAAAAACGCAUUCGAGCGUCACGAGCUUCACUGUGCGUGUCUAUUAUGUAGUAGAACCUCGAUUAUUGCUACAAAAUUCGUGGAACUAUCGAAAUAAUCAAGAAACCCACAAUAUAUUGGCUACCGCGAUGGUUAGCGCCGAAAACACUAGCGUUGCAAACGGAGAAACCAUCGCAACCCAUGUGCGGCAUAUGCGCAAGGUAGAUGCGCACAAGAUACCACUCGUCUACUACUUACAACAGUCCUAUCUAAUGUUGCACUAAUUACUCUCUUGAUGUUUUUGUAUUAGGUUGUCUCAAAAGUUUCUUUCGCUUUAUUAAAAAGUAAUAGAUGCACAAUAUUUUAUGUUUUAUGUUACAAUACUGAAUUGUGCACGAUUCAUUUUGCUCCAUUACUGUUACAACAUGAAUAUAUAUGAAAUUUGAUUGUCUAUUUAUAUAAACACGACCACAUAAAAUAAUUGAGUACGACUCGCGAAAGAAACUUUCGGGACAGCCUAAUAUCAAACUUAAAUGGCAAUGAAUAACUAAACUGCUAAUAUUUAUGCAUUUAUGGCAAAUUUGGAUAUGUAAAAACCUAUAACAAUGUGCACAAAUGUAAAAAUAUAUAAAAUAUCAACAAUGAUAUACAUGUUGUACCAUUUAGAAGAUAAAAUAUGCUUUCAUUUAGCUUUCAAUUCAUUUUAAACACGAGAGAAACAAUUAAAUGAAACUUCAAAUUCCUAUUCUCGAUGAAUUAUAUAAUGAAAGGAGAGAUGAUUAGAGUAUUUGGACCUUACCUAUGUGGAAUAAAGCCGACAAAAAUGUACCGAUAUCAAAAAAUUUGAAUCAAAAAGUCUUAACAGGGAUAAGCAUAAACUUCUGUACACUGAGUACCUACUCUGCAUGGAAAAACAGUAAUUGUCCAAAGAUGCUGCAGAAAGCAAAACGCUCUCCCCACUACCAUCUGCUUAUAAGGACUGUAGACAAUAGACGAUGACUUCUGCACACCUACCUUGCGCACAUAUGACACAUGUUAUAUAAAAAAUGAAUUCUAAUGUUUUAUUACUUGUAUCACGAGCAAUAAUCCUUGCAAUGUGACAAUUGAAAAGAAGAUUUUACAGCAAGAAUACAAGUGAUAAUGUUAAAAUAAAUUUAUCCAAAUAUUUAAGUUAGUAUUUUAUUCUUUCUUAAAUAAAAAUAGAGAAAUUUAACGGCAAUAUUUGUUAAAAUUGUUCUAUCAUUGAACUUUUUAUUUAAAGUGGAAACUAUUUUUGCAUUAAUAAUGCAAAAUGUUUGAAAUAUACUAAAACGGAUGAAAAUGUAUCGCUCUAAGAAUUUUUUGAAUAAAUAGUGUAAAAUUUUAAGAGAACAGUGUCGACGUCAAUGUCACAGUAUUUAUUUAUUCUAUCCUAAAUUAAAUCAAUAUUUAUUCGUUUGAUUAUUUAUUUUUAGGUACCGCGAUAUAAUGAAUAUAAACAAUUUCAGAAUUCGUGAGCAAAUAAAUAUGCGUAUUAUAUUAUUAAUAGAUACAUACGAAAAUAAUAGGCGAUUUGUUGGGAAUUAAAGCACAGCGAAGCUCGGAGCGUCGAUUUAAAUUCCGAUUCGUUCGAUUUUUAGUGCGUCUUUACGUUGGUAACGUUAAUAAUAUUAUUAAUUAAUGGACGCAUAAUGACACGUUCCUUUGGUUAACGCGUAGGCGACAUUCCUAAUACCAAUUACAACAACGGAAUUCUAAAAGCAAUAACGUUUGUACUCGUUUAUGAUCGCUUAAAACGGAACAUCAUAUCGUAUUAAUUUACCGAAUUUGCGAAAGACCAGUAGGUUAUCGAUUCAACAGCUUCGAGUGCCCUUGUUCGAAUCGAUGUGUGUGGAUGUAUGCGAAUCAAUGAGAUCGGUCAUUGUUUACUGUAAUUAAUUGUAACGAUACAAAUGCGAUUACCCAAUUAACUGUUUGCGUUACGUAUUUAUUUUUUCCUUAAUUUCAUAUUUGAAUGAAUUAACUUUGUACGAUUGUAAACGUAACAUUAAAGCAGCCUUUAAAUAGAAAUAUUACUUAAAUUCUAUAUAUUUAAAAUGUUAUUUAAUGCGAAAUUUGUAAAACGAUAUUUGAAAAAUAUUUAAAUUGUCUGAAAUGAAAUUAUAUAUAGUAAUACCUCGAUAACUGCCGCAGGCUUCGAAAGAAAACGCGACAGUUAAGAAGGGAAAUAGGUGCUCCAGGAAUUGAGCGCCAUUUUAGCGAGCCGUUAUUGUACUAUUUAAUUUCUUUAUAUUAUACGUUAAAUUUCUGUUAUAUAUACAAUAAAAAAAAAAAAAGGCACGAAACAACGCCAUGAAUGAGAAAUAAACAAAUCUACUCGAAACCAGCAGAAAAGUGGAAGAACUAAACGAGCAGUAGCAUAAUUUCUACAAAACAAGAUUUUUGCAAAUAAAUUGUACUCGUGACUUCAGUUAUCAGUGGUUAACUUGUGCAUAGUAUAAUUUUAAAUGUAAACAGAAUGAGACAAUUUUUUUUUAAUACACAUGCAACACCAACAUUUCCUGUUAUUCGACUAAAAAGAAAAAACAAACAAGAAUAAAUUAAAAUACAGUCAGAGAAAUGGAAAAUUAAAGAAAUGAAUAAAUAAAUAAAAAUGUAGUAAAAAUUAAUGUAAAGUGAAAUUGCAAGAACAACAACGAAUACAUGUAACCUACAUAAUUAUCCAUAAUUAAGAUUAUUGCGUAUUAUAUUCAAGAAAGAAAUAAAAAUGAUACGCACUAUAUUUAAAAAGAAGUUCUCUCAAAAAAAUGAUAACUCGAGAAUUAAUUUUUUAAUGUAACUCUUUAGUAUCGAGAAACAGGAGAUAAUGACAAGAAACUUGGAUUAAGAGAUUCUAUUUACAUUCAACUGAAACGUUGCCUUGCCAAGAGAUAAUACUUAAAACUUAUUUCCUGGCAAUUAAUUCUUGGCAAAUUUUCAGACUUGGCACGAUCAUUGCACUGUUGCUUCGCAAAAACAAAUGCCACGCUGCUCGGUUUACCUUCCACAAAAUCAUGCUAAUCAGAAGAAAGAAAAGUCACUGAGUGGACCGAAAAUACACUCGAAUAACUCUCUAAUGUAAGAUCAGAAUUAUUCGAACUUUUAAUAUUUGUAUUGCAUAAUGGAUUAGUGUAUUUACUUGAAACGAAGUUGGAAAAAGCAUUUCCUCGCUAACUGAUUGAAUUUUUUUAAGAAUACCCUCAUAAAUGAAAUGUAACAAUGUCAGUGACGUGUUAUCAGUUUUAGGAAUAGUUCUGAUCCUAUUAUAGUGUCUUAUCGAUAACGAAGAUUUUUUGGUAGACUUUUUAAUAGCGAUUUACAACGUUGGUUUUGUCCAUUUUUUUUCAAACACUUGUGGAAACGCUUUGUAUGAAUUCGUAAAAAAUUGAACGACUCGUUCGCAAACUAUGUAAAAAUUGUCGAAGAAACGAGAACAAAGAUAUGCAUGUUCCCUUUCCCCCGCCCCGUAUGAAGCUCCGACGACAACUAGCAAAUGAUUCGAUUUAUUAGUUUUAAACCAUUUUGUACGUUUAUAUGCAGUUAAAUGACGUGUACAUAAUUAUGUAAAUCAGUGUUGUGAGAUUAAUCUGAUUGUAAUACCUACACACAAACCCUAUUAGCAGAAGGCAUGUGCUUCGAAUUAUUAUCCUUGAGAUUUCCUGAGACGAUUAAACGGUCCUUUCAAAA